rnacentral:rRNA from 1 species
GAGUUUGAUCCUGGCUCAGAGCGAACGCUGGCGGCAGGCCUAACACAUGCAAGUCGAGCGGAUGUAGCAAUACAUCAGCGGCAGACGGGAUAGUAACACGUGGGAACGUGCCCUUUGGUUCGGAAUAACUCGGCGAAAAGCCGUGCUAAUACCGGAUAAGCCCUUACGGGGAAAGAUUUAUCGCCAUUGGAGCGGCCCGCGUCUGAUUAGCUAGUUGGUGAGGUAAUGGCUCACCAAGGCGACGAUCAGUAGACUGGUCUGAGAGGAUGAUCAGCAUCACUGGGACUGAGACACGGCCCAGACUCCUACGGGAGGCAGCAGUGGGGAAUAUUGGACAAUGGGCGGCAAGCCUGAUCCAGCCAUGCCGCGUGGAUGAUGAAGGCCUU